CAAAUCACAGCGCUCCAGACAGAACCCAUUGACACCUAUCAACUCUAAUUCGGAAAACGCUGCUAUUUUAACCUAGCAUACUCAUAGUUCAGCAGGUGAUUAUCAACAACUUGCAAGUUAACUUUAGGCAUAUACUCGGAUUUCCCCCUGAAAGGAAAGUAUUUUGGUGAAUUAGUUUGAGAACGUUUGAACGGGAAUAUUGCGUCAAUAAAGGUGAUUCUACUCUGCGUUAACCGGGGCCACUAGUCUACCUGUCACGGAAUUCUUUCAACCAACCACUCCCACCCGGUCCCCUCGUGCUGUCUUUCCGUGGGUCGCCUGCCUCGCCCGCUAACCGUGAUGGCGUGCGGUUGGAGUCCGGGAGCUGUCACGGUUUGGAGAACUACCGUUUUCCUGCUCAACAUCGCGUGCGCAGCGUCGGCCAAGAGACACGUCGUCUACUGGAACUCCACCAACACUAGAUUGACGGGAGGGGAUCUGUCCAUCCAGGUGAAUCUGAAUGACUACCUGGAUAUCUACUGCCCCCACUACCCUCACCCGUCUCCCCCCAGUGAGGAGGCCUACCCCCAGGCCCCACCAGACAGCCUGGCCCUGUACCUGGUGGCUGAGGGGGGGUUCAGGGGCUGUGUGGAGACCCAGGGGGCCAUCAAGAGGUGGGAGUGUAACAGCCCCCGUGCCCCCUUCGGCCCUGUCCGCUUCUCAGAGAAGAUCCAGCGCUUCACCCCCUUCUCUCUGGGCUUCGAGUUCCUCCCCGGACACCACUACUACUACAGCUCAUUGCCUACAGGGGAAAGCUCCCCGCUGCCCUGCAUGAAGCUGCGAGUCACAGUGUGCUGUGAGCCCAGGGCUGUUCUGUAAAUGUGUUGGGAUGAGGAUACACGAGGAGAGAGCAGGAUGAGACUGAGAUGGAAGAGAGGAGAGAUGAAAAAGUCUCUCUGUCUCUCUGUCCAUUAGUGGUGCAGCUGUUGUUGUGCUCCCUGCAGCAACGCCUCAUACUCUCUCUGGUUCCUUCCUGUAGAGGUUCCCUUUUAUCUAACAGCCAGCUUGGCAGUGUGGCACAUACAGUGUGUGUGAGGACCCAGCGAUGGCCGUUCCCAUCCUUUAGCCACAGUCUCUCUCUGGCUGCUCUGGAUGCUUUCAACUCUAUCUCUACGACUGUCUCUACCUCUACGACUGUCUCUACGACUGUCUAUCUCUACGACUGUCUCUAUGGCUAUCUCUGUCUCUGCAACGGUCUCGGUCUCUUUCUCUGCAACGGCCUCGGUCUCUUUCUCUGCAACGGUCUCUUUCUCUGCAACGGCCUCGGUCUCUUUCUCUGCAACGGCCUCGGUCUCUUUCUCUGCAACGGCCUCGGUCUCUUUCUCUGCAACGGCCUCGGUCUCUUUCUCUGCAACGGCCUCGGUCUCUUUCUCUGCAACGGCCUCGGUCUCUUUCUCUGCAACGGCCUCGGUCUCUUUCUCUGCAACGGCCUCGGUCUCUUUCUCUGCAACGGCCUCGGUCUCUUUCCCUGCAACGGCCUCGGUCUCUUUCCCUGCAACGGUCUCGGUCUCUUUCCCUGCAACGGUCUCGGUCUCUUUCCCUGCAACGGUCUCGGUCUCUUUCCCUGCAACGGUCUCGGUCUCUUUCCCUGCAACGGUCUCGGUCUCUUUCCCUGCAACGGUCUCGGUCUCUUUCCCUGCAACGGUCUCGGUCUCUUUCCCUGCAACGGUCUCGGUCUCUUUCCCUGCAACGGUCUCGGUCUCUUUCCCUGCAACGGUCUCGGUCUCUUUCCCUGCAACGGUCUCGGUCUCUUUCCCUGCAACGGUCUCGGUCUCUUUCCCUGCAACGGUCUCGGUCUCUUUCCCUGCAACGGUCUCGGUCUCUUUCCCUGCAACGGUCUCGGUCUCUUUCCCUGCAACGGUCUCACUAUCCUGUCUUUUUCAAACAACAAACCGUUCUCUGAAUGUACUUUUCAGGUGGCCAUUCCCUGUAGUUGGGGACGAGCACUCAAACACACACGGGGAUCUGAAGGACAGAGCAGUGACAGAGGGUCCAUCAGGCCAACUUUUUCUCUAACUGAAAUGAACUAAAACAGCCGUAAAGAGAGCACGGCAGGUAGGACACAGUUGCACGUGACACAGGAAGCUCCUAAGCAACCGUAGGGUCCAAGCAGAACAAGCAGGAACAAGGUACUCCAGCUCUUCACAGUGAUGUGUGUUCAAUGAGGACAGUUCCUCUUUCUCUCCUCCUCCUCCUUGUUCCACUCUUGAACUUCCUCUCUAUCUAACAUCCCUCUAUUCAAGCUGACCUCCUGAGUAUCUACCAUGCCCACUGUAGAUGGCCUGCCUCACCCACUCAGUCCCUACUUUAAACUAGCCACACCUCAUAGGGAGGCCAAGUCUUCAUUUCAGACCCUCAAAUGACUGCAAUAGGGUAGACUUCAACACUACACACACUCCAACUACACACACUCCAACACAUCACCUCUGCCUUUUCUGGGGUGGCACUAAUCUUUCUCUUGGCCUCCUCUUUUCUCUCUGUCCACUCCUCUCGUUCCCCCUCUUCCAUCCCUCGCUCCUGACUAAGCUCCUUCUGAAACAAAUUGACACUAAUCUUUCUCUUCUUGGUCUCCUCUUUUCUCUCUGUCCACUCUCUCCUCUCGUUCCCCCUCUUCCAUCCCUCGCUUCUGACUAAGCUCCCUCUGAAACAGACUGACACUAAUCUACCAUCAAAGCUCUCAUUCUUCAUUUCCCACCUUUAUCCACUCCAUCCUGUAGACUCCAUCUGUGUCGUCUCUCUUCCUCUCUCUCUCUCUCUUCCUCUCUCUCUCUCUUCCUCUCUCUCUUUCUCUCUCUCUCUCUCUCUGUGUGUGUGAACAUAAUGUGCCAGCUGAGCCAAAGUGGAUCAUCCAGACGUUGUUCUGUUAAAUUACUACGGAGAGGACCAGACUUGGAGUUGACUGCUUCUGAACAGAACCAUGUUUUUGAGUUGACGUCAUUGGAUUUGAAAGUCAUUGUUUUUUAGAUGAAAAACUACUUUUUUUUUAUAUCCAAAGUGGGACCAACUGUUAAACACAGUAACACCAAAUGUUGACCAAACUUUAUUAAAAAAGUUAACCAGUGACGACACUGCCUAAACCAGGAUAUGCUGUGUGAGUGGGACCCUGGGAAUGAUGAACUGGAAUAUUGUAACUGCUCUGCUACGCCCUCUACUGGGAUCAUACUGGUUAGACUGGUCCAACUGGGCUGUAACACCUGACAGUCUGUGGGAGUAAUCUGACCAUAUCUGGAAUUAACUGGACUGUGUCUGGUGGUUUACCUCUGUCUUAAAAGGCAAUCAAAAGGAAUUGUGGGAAACACACUGAGGGUACCGCCUCACUUCACCUCACACGCACCAAACCACAUCGGCUGAUUGACGGAUGCUCCUCACCAACCAGGUGUGCAGGUACACUAUUUAGACUGUCUGCUGAGCACUUAACCAGGCGAGGACCUUCAUCAAUGAGAAGAGGCCUAAAGCUGGUGUUUGUUUGAAUAGAGGUUUUUGUUUUAGUGCAGUAAGGAUUCUGCUUUAGGUGUUUCAGUUAAAUAUUGAUGUUUUGUAGAGGUCCUGUAAUGUUGGCAUCCAUUUUGAUUAUUUGAAACAUCCUGAAAAAAUCUACAUUUUUACAUGGCUGAACUUUUUUUUAUGUUUACAGGUCUAGAUUAACUCCAAUUGUUGUUGUUUAUAGUGCUAUCAAGAAUAACUAAAGCACUUUAGUACAGGUUACCCACGUAUUUCUCUUUAAGUAAAAAAAAAAUACAUUUUUUCAUUAAACAAAUACCAUUAAAAAAUGCAAUUUUAUUAUCAAAGCAAUUUAAAUUAAUACAUUUUUAUUUUGAUUGUCAUAUCUUUUAUCUGUUGGUUAGAUAUGAUUUCAUGUUCCAUUCACAAAAGUAAUAUAUCACUAAAUUGCAUUUACAGUAGAAGCGUGUUACAAAUAUCACAAACCUAACAAAUAUACAUGAUUUAUUUUAAAAAGUGAGAGAUUUAACUGAAAUUAUUCUUAUUAAUUUAAUCCCACAAAAAUGAGUGUAUAUUUAAUUAAAUUCAUAAUUCUGAUAAAUUGCUUAUCUUAAUCCAACAUAAUUAAUCAUUAUUAAAUACAGGCUAUUCGGGGCUGCAGUUUUUCCCACAUUCUGAUGUUGUCUUUGGUAACAGCAUUUAGAAAACAAUGUUUUCUUUCAGAAUAAAUAUGUUGACUCAGUUAUGCCUGUAAGCACUUACUCAGAGAGAUGAGUCUGUAGUAUUACUUUACACACACAUUUGGAUAACAAUAUACUUAAAUGACAAUUAAAUAUUUUGUUCUAGUCUACGCAGGUUAUUCAGUAAUAUAAUGACUAUUCCAGGGGUUUAAACACUGAUGUCUGGAACCUUGUUGUAUAAAGCUGGUGCUCCCAGAUUGAGUUUUUUUUGUUUUCACAUUUUAGUGAAGUAUGAAGCAUCUUCUAUGAAGAGCGAACUGCAAACAGCCCUUUUAUACAAGGUGAGAUGACAAAAUAAAGAUGAUUGCAAUAACUGUUGAAAUUUC